GUUUAUUAACUUGUUCAUUAUGUCAUAUGCAGUAUGCGUGUCGCAUCUUCAAAAUUUAUAAUUAAAAGUAUGUAAAAUGGAAACUAUGUUAAUGAAAAUCUAGAAGUGUUAACAUUGAUUGGAAAAUUGUGGAUGCACCAUGCAAACAAGGAUAGAAUUGUCUUUAAUGUUAGAAUAUUGUGAAAAAGGUUGGGUGAAAUCACUAUCUGUGCAACUUUCUUUUGAUGUUGCUGUUUUAAGUGCAAUGACUACAUUGAGUGCAUAUCCAUACUAUCUCAGUGCUCAGAACUAAUUUAGCUGGUGGUGAC
rnacentral:misc_RNA from 1 species